GGRGCUACCUGCAGCCGAGCGGUAUUUAUUCUUCGGAAUAGAGAGAGCGGCGUACGGGUGCGUAACACGUGUGCAACCUACCUUUAUCAGGAGGAUAGCCUUUCGAAAGGAAGAUUAAUACUCCAUAAUAUAUUAGAUGGCAUCAUUUAAUAUUGAAAACUCCGGUGGAUAAAGAUGGGCACGCGCAAGAUUAGAUAGUUGGUGAGGUAACGGCUCACCAAGUCAUUGAUCUUUAGGGGUCCUGAGAGGGAGAUCCCCCACACUGGUACUGAGACACGGACCAGACUCCUACGGGAGGCAGCAGUGAGGAAUAUUGGACAAUGGGUGAGAGCCUGAUCCAGCCAUCCCGCGUGAAGGAUGACGGUCCUACGGAUUGUAAACUUCUUUUGUAUAGGGAUAAACCCAGAUACGUGUAUCUGGCUGAAGGUACUAUACGAAUAAGCACCGGCUAACUCCGUGCCAGCAGCCGCGGUAAUACGGAGGGUGCAAGCGUUAUCCGGAUUUAUUGGGUUUAAAGGGUCCGCAGGCGGGCCGAUAAGUCAGUGGUGAAAUCUCAUAGCUUAACUAUGAAACUGCCAUUGAUACUGUCGGUCUUGAGUAAAUUAGAGGUAGCUGGAAUAAGUAGUGUAGCGGUGAAAUGCAUAGAUAUUACUUAGAACACCAAUUGCGAAGGCAGGUUACCAUGAUUUAACUGACGCUGAGGGACGAAAGCGUGGGGAGCGAACAGGAUUAGAUACCCUGGUAGUCCACGCCGUAAACGAUGCUAACUCGUUUUUGGGGCGCAAGCUUCAGAGACCAAGCGAAAGUGAUAAGUUAGCCACCUGGGGAGUACGUUCGCAAGAAUGAAACUCAAAGGAAUUGACGGGGGCCCGCACAAGCGGUGGAUUAUGUGGUUUAAUUCGAUGAUACGCGAGGAACCUUACCAAGACUUAAAUGGGAAAUGACCGGUUUAGAAAUAGACCUUUCGCAAGACAUUUUUCAAGGUGCUGCAUGGUUGUCGUCAGCUCGUGCCGUGAGGUGUUAGGUUAAGUCCUGCAACGAGCGCAACCCCUGUCACUAGUUGCUAACAUUCAGUUGAGGAA
rnacentral:rRNA from 1 species